rnacentral:rRNA from 1 species
GACGAACGCUGGCGGCGUGCUUAACACAUGCAAGUCGAACGGAAAGGCCCUGCUUUUGUGGGUUGCUCGUGUGGCGAACGGGUGAGUAACACGUGAGUAACCUGCCCUUGACUUUGGGAUAACUUCAGGGAACUGGGGCUAAUACCGGAUAGGAGCUCCUGCUGCAUGGUGGGGGUUGGAAAGUUUCGGCGUUUGGGGAUGGACUCGCGGCUUAUCAGCUUGUUGGUGGGGUAGUGGCUUACCAAGGCUUUGACGGGUAGCCGGCCUGAGAGGGUGACCGGCCACAUGGGGACUGAGAUACGGCCCAGACUCCUACGGGAGGCAGCAGUGGGGAAUAUUGCACAAUGGGCGGAAGCCUGAUGCAGCAACGCCGCGUGCGGGAUGACGGCCUUCGGGUUGUAAACCGCUUUCGCCUGUGACGAAGCGUGAGUGACGGUAAUGGGUAAAGAAGCACCGGCUAACUACGUG